CCCAUUACAAAGUUACAAAGGUCGGUAUCAAAAUAUUGAAUUAGUCAACUUGAGUUUUGUCUCAUUGUUAAUUAUCUUAGUUAAGCAAAAGAAAGAGUCUCAUUCUCAUUAAUGGUUUAUUUUUGGUUCGGUUAUAUUCAAAAUUACGUACCGUAAGUUAUUUCGCAAGCAAUCACAAAAAGUAUCUCCUCAUAAUUGUAUCAGAUAUACAGUCAAAAUCCUGGUAAGUCGAUCAUCAUCAAUUCAAUCAAAAUAUAUAAUUUACAUACCAAUACAAAAUUUGACAUUUAAUUUAGCUAUAUAUAUUGAUUUCAUAUUGCGAUACCAAUAUUCUGAUUCUUCUUUCUUCUCUCUCUCAAUCUCUCAUAUAUAUCGAUCUGAGGCAGUCAUUUCUUAAAUUUCUAUUAAAUAUACAUAUGUAUGUGUUUAUUUAUGUAACUAUUUGAUUCGACCAAUGCUAGCUCCUUUUUAUUUCUUGUCUUCUUCUAUGUAUCAUAUAUUUUAAUUGACUUCUCAGAUGAUAAUGAUUUUCACACUAAUAAUAAUAUUGUCAUAUUCAACCUGGAAUCGCCAAGUUUACAUACAGAGGGUUGUAGAGCGUUUAAAAUGGUUUUCAAAAAUAUCAUUAAUAAAUCUAUUCAAGACGAUGGUUUGGUAAGCUAUAUUUUAUAAUUAUUUUAUUUUAUUUCUUUUCUAAUAUGAGAAUAAUGAUGUAAGAUGGGUGUGCAUAGCAUGACCUGGUUCUAUCAGGGAAGAAGUUAUUGUCACAAACAAAACUGGCUGAAGAAGACGCUGAGAGGAAUGUGAAGAAGAACAUCAGGAGGGAAAAACACUUGAUGAGAGAAAAGGGACAUGUGAUACCAGCAAAUUAUUUGGAUGCACUUGAAAAGUUUUAAUUGGUGUUACAAAAGGAGGUCGUAUCAUACCGUGCCAUAGAAAAAUAUAGGUGAUCAUGUCGUGAUGUACCAAUAUUUUUAAAGAGUAUGUUCAGUACGACCCGUAGGCCUGGUAUUUUCAUACAUUGGAUUAUUAGAAUAUUUCUAAUUAAGGAAAUAAAAUAAUAUUAUUGAUUCUGAUAAAUGAAUAUUUUAUAUUCAUUGAAUCUGGACAGAAUCAAUUACGUAAUAUUCUAUAUAUGGUCAGAUUUCUAUAUUCAUUACCUGAUUUGAUUUCCUGAAU